rnacentral:misc_RNA from 1 species
GCAUUGUUUCGUCAAUACCCUGGUAUGAAAUUAUUUUCUUAGAGUUGAGUCGGUUUUGUUAAUUGAAUAAACAGUUUAUUUGGUUCUUCUGGGGUUGGAAUUUGCCUUUAGUGUUAAUAGUUACUAGAUUCGCUCAAACCCCUUGGGAACUGCGAUUUGGGUCGUGCGUUCCAAAUCACAAGUUGUUUGUGUAUGCAAUCUGGGUCUCCAAAAUAGAGGUUCCAGCAAGAAUGAAACGAAGAAAGGAAGGAAGAGAAAAAGAUAGAAAGAACGAAGGAAGAGAGAAAGAUAGAAAGAAGAAAGAUCAAAAUGCAUGCUCAUGUGUACAGCAACAGGCACAGGAAGAAAAAGAAGAUAAGUCGUAGAAAUGAAAUAGAAGAAGAAGAAAGAAGGAAGUACGUUUUGAAAGAUUAAAAAGUGCGGUAGCUCGACAGACUUAUCAGUGGGUUGGGUGGGUUAGGUGGCAGUAUAAUCUUGGUCUUGGGAGUGCAAAUGAAUGAUUUCUCUUGGGAGAAAAUUAAAAUUGUUUAGAAAAUAUAAUCAUUAUUAACUAUUAAUUAUAUUUUUAAUUAUUUAAAAUUGUAUUAUUUUAUUAAAUCUUAAAUAAUAUUUAUAUUAUGCUAAAAAACUUAUAAUAUAAUUAAUUUUUAAUUAUUUUAUAAGUAUAUUAAGUUAAACAAAAAUUAAAGAAAUAAAUUAUGUCAUAUAAAUGUAAUCUGCAUACAAAUAAAUAUAACUGAUGUACCACAAAUUAAAUUGGCGUACCGAUUAAGAUACCCCUAACGUACACCAUAUUCAGUAAGUGGCAUACCACAUAACCUUACCACAAUCUGAGAGUAUGGCAUUCCAGGUAUAUCCUCAUCUCCUCUCGCAUUUGUGAAUGCCAUUGCUCAUCCACAGUCUACUCCUUGCCACCUCCACUCACGACUGUUCUGUCCUUCUUAACCUCUCACCAAUCCUUUGUCUUGCCUCAUGGUUCUUGCAGUCACACCUUCUCCAAUGAUUCAAAUAGCUGCCAUGAUCGAAGCUUGGUCCGAUGCCUUCCCUUCUUCCUCCUAGCCUCAAGCUCUUAUGGUCUCACCUCACUAUCAAUGUUCCUUCAAUUUGAUUCCUCUACAAUUUUGGAUGGUGAUUUUUUGAGUUGUGUUGAUUGUUGAUGUUUGGGGUUUCGCUUUUACAAAUUUUUUGUGUAUUGAACUAUGGAUUGCAAUUUUGGGUUUCAUUGGAUGUAUUGAACUAUCAAUUGAAUCAAAUUUUUGCAGUUUUUUCUUGUUAAAUUGAUGUGUUACCUGAAAUUUCCUGCAGCUAGAUAUUGAUCUUUCUUUGUUUAAUGGAAAAUUGAUGGGUAUUGAUUGAAAUUUGCAAGUCAAAUUGGGUAUCGAUAUGUGUUUACUGAAUGAACAAAACAAGGCAGCCCAAAAACAAAGAACCAAGCUGAAUAUUUAGGUUUUUCAGUUCAUUUUCUUCAUUAAAAUCAAUUCAGUUCGGUUUUAUAUUUCUAAGAAUUCAGUUUUCAACUUUUCAGUUCAGUUCAAUUAGCAAUUGAACCAACCAAAUGAACAUCCCUAAGUAUUCAUUCUUGAGUGUAUAAAACCUCAAGUGCAAUUUUCCCUAUUUCAUAGCAACAUUCCGUAGUCAUAUGUAAUUUAAUAGCUGAAAGCUGCACAGUGGUUUAGGCCUACCCUAGCAACAACUGGAAAAUAAGAAUAACAAACUCCCUAACUAUCAUCCUUAAAAUUAAAAACCAAUAAUUAGUUGCAUAUUUGUAUCAUUAAUGAAAGCAAACAAUUUACCAUGUAUGCCUAAUUUCAUCCAUUUCCCUUUUUUAGCACGGUGGGCAUUUUAACCAUGACUUUUUUUCAGUAUUCACAAACCAAACACAAAGCACACAGUUUGUGCCCUAGGCAAAAUGUGAUUAUUGUAACAGAAAAGGAAUCUUUCCAUUCGUAGUUUGUAUCCCUUUAUUUCAAACGAUACUCAGGGGAACCAAAGUAUGUGAGAUCAUAUGCUUAUCUUAAUCACAACAAUAUGUCAUAGAGUACUGCAACCUUAAAAACUAUUUGAACUCUGAAGUUUGAUUUCAUUUGAUGCAAGCUAAUUUUAAACUUACGCUUGUCCAUGAGAAUAAUGUUAAAAUUUGCUACUAUCCUAACAAUGUGCAAUCAGGAUUGGACUGAAUAUGGAUAAACGUUUUCACUGUUUAUUCUCUUACUGUUUUCCUUGUCACUAGGAGAUUUCCAGUUUUGGUAGGUAAGGCAAGUUUUAGUGGCAGAUAGGGAUUCUAAUUCAUUCCAAAAUUAAAUUUGUACAAGUUACCUGAAACGAAAAUAUGCACAAAUGCCUUCUCAGGUCCCUAAUCAGCUUCUGACUGAAGUAGGUUGGUAGAGUCACUAAUUCAUUGUAAACGUGCAACAAAACUUUUAAAUUCCUUUUCUCAACAAUUUGCUGCUACUGAUGCAUAAGCACAGCAAUGUGCCUUUUGCUUUCUCUUGAACUCACCUCACGUAAUUGUGUGAGAAGUUCUAAGGUUGGCCAAACGAGCAGCAUGGCACUCCGGUGAAUGAAAAGAACCAUCCACCUGCAUAUAUAUGUGUCAGGAACAACAUGCUCUUGAGAUUUGAAUAUUUUACCACCCAUUAUACCAUGCCGUCUUCGAUCUCUUCG